AGCAGCCGCGGUAAUUCCAGCUCCAAUAGCGUAUAUUAAAGUUGUUGCAGUUAAAAAGCUCGUAGUUGAAUUUCGGGGUCAGUGAGUUGGUCGUGCCACUGGUAUGCACUGGCUUUACUGAUUCCUCCUUCUUGAAGAACUGUAAUGCUAUUAAUUUAGUGUUGCAGGGAAACAGGACUGUUACUUUGAAAAAUUGAGUGUUUAAAGCAGGCUAACGCUUGAAUACAUUAGCAUGGAAUAAUGAAAUAGGACGUUUGAUCCUAUUUUGUGGUUUCUAGGAUUGACGUAAUGAUUAAUAGGGAUAGUUGGGGCAUUAGUAUUCAAUUGUCAGAGGUGAAAUUCUUGGAUUUAUUGAAGACUAACUACUGCGAAAGCAUUUGCCAAGGAUGUUUCAUUAAU
rnacentral:rRNA from 1 species